CGAGGAAAAAAUUUGUGGACAUAAUGCAUUAAUGCUACAAUAAACAAAGAAUGAAGACCUUUAUUAUGAUUAAAAUGUGGUACGAAUAGAAAACCCGAAAAUAAUUAAGAAAGCAUUGAGAAGUGUCAUCUAUGAAUUAAAGCAGUAGCAUGGGCAAUGACCUGGAUUGACAGAUGACAAUACAUGAAGAUAGGACCACCUCCCCCAUCUUUGUUGGCCUUUCUCCACGUUCUCUUCUUUAUUCCCAACUGGAUAAUCUUAUCUCAAUUGUUGAAAAAUUCAUCAAUAAUUUAUCUUCACCGUUAACCAAACAAACAAAUAAUGCACAAUUCUUUUUCAUUCACAAGAUAUAUAUAAUUCUAAUAAUUUUUCACACCCAGAAGAAAUUAAAUUCUCCAUUAGUUGUCUGACGAGCUCAUUUAGCUAAAAAAAAGUAACUCAUUCUCAGAAAUAAAUUCGGGAAUGGUGAGAAAAUUAAAUUAAAUUAAACAUCAUAAACAUGUUACUGAUGUUGACAGUAUUGGACCUGAUUAAUGUACUGAACUUUGUGACAUUAUCACUAUUGAAAUAAAAAGGGGGGGAAAAACUAACUUUACAGAAACCUACCUCAUCAGCAGAGUGAAGUUCGUCCAAAAAAUUGGAAUAUGAUGUUCAUUGUAAUCUUAAUUUAAUGAAGAAGAAAUGAACAGAAGCCAAAAUAUGUUUUUUUAAAUAUAUAUUGAGCCAAAUGAUAGUUAAGGACAACAUUAAAAUUCCAUACAAAUUUUGAAAAGUUAGAAAAAUCCAACGUGAUAAAUUUUAUAAAAGCGCGCGGUGUUAACUCUAGAAUUAGAAGAAUUUUAAAGAACAAAAUUAUAGAAUCUAGAUAUGCUAUUUAUAUUGAAGGUGUAUUUAAUUUCUACUAAGACUAAGAUUUUUAGCAAACUCAUACCCCUAUCAGAUCAAUCUUUAAAAGCUUUUCUUGAAUUUAGGAAGAGGGAAGAGUAAAAGAACUAGAAAUUAACAGAAGGAUUUUCAAAUUUCUAGUCGAAGUUGAACUUACAACCUUAUGAUAGAGAAUGAUAUAUACUGAUGCAGCUCAUAGAAAGAAGUGAUU
rnacentral:lncRNA from 1 species